CGCGGCCUAUCAGCUUGUUGGUGGGGUAAUGGCCUACCAAGGCGACGACGGGUAGCCGGCCUGAGGGGGUGACCGGCCACACUGGGACUGAGAUACGGCCCAGACUCCUACGGGAGGCAGCAGUGGGGAAUAUUGCACAAUGGGCGCAAGCCUGAUGCAGCGACGCCGCGUGAGGGAUGACGGCCUUCGGGUUGUAAACCUCUUUCAGCACAGACGAAGCGCAAGUGACGGUAUGUGCAGAAGAAGGACCGGCCAACUACGUGCCAGCAGCCGCGGUAAUACGUAGGGUCCGAGCGUUGUCCGGAAUUACUGGGCGUAAAGAGCUCGUAGGUGGUUUGUCGCGUUGUUCGUGAAAACUCACAGCUUAACUGUGGGCGUGCGGGCGAUACGGGCAGACUUGAGUACUGCAGGGGAGACUGGAAUUCCUGGUGUAGCGGUGGAAUGCGCAGAUAUCAGGAGGAACACCGGUGGCGAAGGCGGGUCUCUGGGCAGUAACUGACGCUGAGGAGCGAAAGCGUGGGGAGCGAACAGGAUUAGAUACCCUGGUAGUCCACGCCGUAAACGGUGGGUACUAGGUGUGGGUUUCCUUCCUUGGGAUCCGUGCCGUAGCUAACGCAUUAAGUACCCCGCCUGGGGAGUACGG
rnacentral:rRNA from 1 species